CCUACGGGUGGCAGCAGUGGGGAAUAUUGCACAAUGGGGGAAACCCUGAUGCAGCGACGCCGCGUGAGUGAAGAAGUCAUUCGGGAUGUAAAGCUCUAUCAGCAGGGAAGAAAAUGACGGUACCUGAGUAAGAAGCGCCGGCUAACUACGUGCCAGCAGCCGCGGGAAUACGUAGGGUGCAAGCGUUAGCCGGAUUUACUGGGUGAAAAGGGAGCGUAGACGGCAGGGCAAGUCUGGUGUGAAAGGCGGGGGCUCAACCCGCGGACUGCUCUGGAAACUGUACGGCUGGAGUGCAGGAGAGGUAAGUAGAAUUCCUAGUGUAGCGGUGAAAUGCGUAGAGAUUAGGAGGAAUACCAGUGGCGAAGGCGGCUCACUGGACAGUAACUGACGUUGAGGUGCGAAAGCGUGGGGAGCAAACAGGAUUAGAUACCCGAGUAGUC
rnacentral:rRNA from 1 species